UGAUGUAACCCCAGAGAGGAACC
rnacentral:piRNA from 1 species